CUCCACACAUCUCUGCACUACUGUACACCACCAGCAAGCUAAUAUGGGUUCAGUCUCCCUGUCCGAAUUUCACAUCAGAGCAUCUCAUUCCAUUUCCAAGAAGCCUGGAGAUAAAUGAGUUCACUGUUCAACUCCAGGCCCCAGCCUCUGACAUCAAGCUCUGGAUCGUCUGCUGACUGAAGUGCUAGAAGACAAAGAAACUGAAUAGAAGGAAGGCUCAUGGGACCCCUGCAUUCUGCUUGCUUAUUCUUAGAGACCACCCCUCCACAGAAGACUUCUUAGCAAGAGUACCCUCAGAAAUGAAGAACUAAAGGAAUGGGAAGAUCCGUGUAUUUUUAUGGACAGUGGUGCAGAAGUAUGACUGGAGAAAAAAAACCAGGAAGUUCUAAUUCCAAACUCAAGUCCCUUCAGCUCUAGUUCAGCCUCAGCAAGUGCUAAGGUCAUGCGAUGACUCUGCCCCUCUCUGAGCCCAUGUCUCCAGCCUGGCUGCUUCAGGCAAGCUUUGGUGCACGCUCUGUCCUAGGAGGAUCCUCAUGUCUGGGUCAAUGCUCUGCUCAAGCAGCAGGACCACAGUGGUGGUUUGUAAUCAGAAGACAUCUUCAUUUUCCUUCUCCUGGACUUGGCUGCUGGACAAGACGGUACCAUCAGGCUGUGGCUUCUGAGGAGAGAACACUUCCCCACACCGCUUAGCCAUGCGUGGAAGACUCUCUGCAUCACCAAAUCUCUCACCGAAGCAAGCCCUGUGGGGCCCCACAGCGACUCAGGGUCACCACUCCAGACCCAUGAGGGAUGCCUUAUGACGGCAACAGAAUGAGAAGCUACCAGGAUUUCCUCGCUGCUUUCCAGACAAAGCCCAAAGGCUGCCUGGUGCAGACAUGCCUUGCCCUCUCUCCCCAGGGCUGCUGGCUGUUGGACACCAGGAAUCACGACCACCUUGACCUCUGAAUCUCUAACAUCAGCAAGCAUCCAUUAGGGUCUUAGCUUACCUGUCUUUCCCAUAAAAGAGAAUAAUAGAAGGACAUUGCCUUGCUGUGGUUCUGCACCAGUUGCUGUGUCUGGAUAUGAAACAGUUCUAGCGAGAUCCUGGUUAAAAUGCUAAGCAAAAGCAAAGCUUUAUGAAGCACAUAAUAUUCAUACAAGUUUAAGAAAAAUAUCCAUCCAUUCGGAGAACAAAUGUUUUUGAAACUCUAUGCAAACUCUAAUUACCAUGCAUUUUUACUUUUCAUUAUAGUAGGUUCUUAGAGGACUUUUACUUCAUAGCAUUUUAUACCUGAGUUGUUGUUAUUAUUGAAAGAAAAUUGAAAUAAACUAUUCACAAUCCUUUA